UCUCCGUAGGUGAACCUGCGGAGGGAUCAUUACUGAGUGAGGGUCUCCGGGCCCGACCUCCAACCCUUUUGUGAACCAAACUUGUUGCUUCGGGGGCGACCCUGCCUUUCGGGCAGUGCGCCCCCGGAGGCCAUUAAACACUGCAUCAUUGCGUCGGAGUUAAAGUAAAUUAAACAAAACUUUCAACAACGGAUCUCUUGGUUCCAGCAUCGAUGAAGAACGCAGC
rnacentral:misc_RNA from 1 species